CCCACCAGCAUGUGCUUCAGUGUGAAUAUGCUAAUUAGCUCAUCCCACAAAAUGAACUCACACCUGACCCUAGGUAGAGUUCAAGUGUGUUUGAACCACACUUGGAAGAAGGAAGAGCAGCUUAAGGCAGAGCUAACUACAGACUUAAAAAUGAAGAAAGUGUUUUAGAAGAAAUGUUAUCUCUCUCUGUUGGAAAUAUAUUGUGUUGCCUAGUGGACAUCUCAGGAAGCAAACUGAAGGAUCAGUAUGAG
rnacentral:lncRNA from 1 species